rnacentral:lncRNA from 1 species
CUUAAUUUGAUGAUACCCAUACUUCUAAUAGUAACAUGGUCUUGUCUAUUACACUGUACUUUUUUUGAUAAUGAAUAAACAGUUAACCAUUAAUUAAACUGAAUUGGAAAAGACUGCAAAAACUGGGAACCAAGGAAUUUAUAUAACCUAUGAAAGAUAGGCCAGGUACAGGCGUGGUGGCUCACACCUGUAAUCCCAACACUCUGGGAGGCCAAGGUGGGCUGAUCACUUGAGGUCAGGAGUUCGAGACCAGCCUGGCCAACAUGGUGAAACCCAGUCUCUACUAAAAAUAAUAAAAAAAAAAACAAAGAGGCAGGCGUGGUGGCACACACCUGUUAAUUCCGGCUACACGGGAGGCUGAGGCACAAGGAUAGCUUGAACCUGGGAGGCAGAGGUCGUAGCGCGCCGAGACUGCGCCAUUGCACUCCAGCCUGGGUGAAAGAGCGAGACUCCAUCGCAAAAAAAAAAAAAAAGAGGGGCCAGACAUGUUGGCUCACACCUGUAAUCCCAGCACUUUGGGAGGCCGAGGUGGGGGGAUCACUUGAGCCCAGAGUUCAAGACCAGCCUGAACAACACGGUGAGACCCUAUCUCUAAAAAAAGUUUUUUUUAUUAGCCAGGAGUGGUGGCACACAACUGUGGUCCCAGCUACUCAGGAGGCUGAGGCAGGAGGAUCACUUAAAUCCAGGAGGUCAAGGCUGCAGUGAGCCAUGAUCAUGCCACUGUGCUCCAGCUUGGGUGACAGAGUGAGACCCUAUCUCCAAAAAAAGAAAAAAAAAAAAAAAGCAUACACAGAGCAGCUCUGAGAAAUUAGUUUCUACUAAAAGCACAUUCGUGUUACAUUCAGAGAAAUGGAAAAUUUAAUUAUAUUACUUUUCUGCCCUGAAUAAAUAGGACAACAGCAGAUGUUGUCCUAUUUGAGUAGAUAUGACACCCUACUUUAAAAAGUACAGGUGAAAUGACACUUGGAAAUGCCACAUUGUAGAUAACACAUUUUCAGAGUAUGGAUAACAGGGGAUAGCACUAGAAUAAAUGGGACAACCAGGAAAUUAAAGAGAUCCUAAUGCAAUAACCUAUGGAAAAAAAAAAAGCAUGAUGAAUAGAAUGGCGAAGGGAAGACGUGACAGCUGCCUUCAGGUAUUAAAAUUAUUUUAUAAAAGAAAUCAUCAAAAGAAGAAACAAGACCAACAGGUAGAAGGCUUGAAGAAUAUUUUUAUUCUAUAUAAGGAAGUACCAAGAGCCAAACCACCUAAAGAUGCACUGGGCUAUCUUGAAAAGUAAUGAAUGCCCAUCACUGAAAACGUCCAGUCACAGGCAAUGCCCACUUACUAGAAACAUGCCAAAAGUAACUAUAUGGGUGACUAGAGCAUCGGCUUUUAAUUCUAUCACCACUUUCUUAAUUGGUGGUGGAAAUGUAAUUUGAUACAACCUCUUUAGGGUUAGAUAUUUGGCAACAGCUCUAAAAAUUAUAAAUGCACAGAUAUACUUUGAUACUGCAAUUCUUUCAGGAAUUCAUGGCACAAGUUAAUCAUUGCUAAAUUACUUGAAGUAGCAUUAAAAAAAAAAGUAAAAGCAAGCUAAUGUCCUGGUUUUAGGACCCUGGUUUUAAAAACUCCAAAACUACAGUACAUCCAUACAAUGGAAUAAUAUGCAAGCAUCCAAACUAAUGAGAAUGCCCUUUAUAUAUACUGACAUGGAAACAUCUCCAAGAUACAGUUAAUGGAAAUAAAGUAAAUGCAAUGUUCAAAUGUUUUCCUCCUUCUUUUAAAGACAGGGGAUAUAUGUGUGUUUACUUGGAGAUGCAUAAAACAUUUCCUGAAGAACACACAAGAAAGCAAUAACAUUAGUUUCUUUGGGGCUGGAGAAAGUAAAUAACUAGGGAACAGAAAGGAGUCUUCAUAGCAUAUUCUUAAGAGCCGCCAGAAUUUUAAACCAUGUAUAUAUAAUUCUUUCCAAACAUGCUCAUUUUUCAAAAUAUAUGAUUUAUGAACCUAAAAGCUUCUGAUUUUGAAUUUUAGAAAUAUUCAUAUCGCCUAUCCUUUUACUCACAAGUUUUCUAAACAUCAUGUCAAAGUUUGUCAUCUAUAUGUUGAAAAGAGCACACAAAGUAAGAAACAAAAUGUUGACAUCAUUCUUUUUGUUUUCAAACUGACCUCAAUUCAUAAACCCGGCCUCUUUUACAAAAUUAUUCAACAGUUGAAUCUGUGACCAGUUAAUUAGUUGUGAAUCCACUCAAUCAAAUCAUCUCAAUUCACUAUUUCCUCUUUUUUUUUUGAGAUGGAGUCUCGCUCCGUCGCCAGGCUGGAGUGCUGCAGUGGCACGAUCUCGGCUCACUGCAAUCUCCGCCUCCUGGUUUCAAGCAAUUCUCCUGUCUCGGCCUCUCAAGUAGCUGGGACUACAGGCACCUGCCACCAUGCGUGGCUAAUUUUUGUAUUUUUAGUAGAGAUGGGGUUUGACCAUGUUGGUCAGGAUGGUCUCAAACUCCUGACCUCAAGCGAUCCGCCCGCCUCAGCCUCCCAAAGUGCUAAGAUUAUAGGUGUGAGCCACCACGCCUGGCUAUUUCCUCAUCUUAACUAAAAGGUUUCAAGAUACUUUGUUAACUACCUAGCUGCAAUGCAGAUGCACUUACUAGAACCACAGUAUUCCUCUGAUUAAGAGUCUGAAAAUCUUGCCAUAAAAGUUAGCCAAUUCUUAAAUACCCAAAUGCCAGCACAUAACCUACAUUUUAUGCUUAUAAUCAUUUGUUCAUUAAGCUUUAAAAUAAACUGAUCAAAUAAAAUACAAGCAUCUAAGAUGUUUCUAUUAUAUAUUCAUUCUACAGAAAUAUGUGGUAGCUAAUAAAGACUGAGGUAGGUAUCUCUGUGCUGAAGUGGAACAAUGAAGAAACAUUCAGAAAAGCAAGGCAUCUGGCAAUAGGUAAAGCACACCCACAUUGAGGCACAAUAUUUUUUAAAAGCAGAGAAAGAAUGUAUUGCACAUUUGCAUAUGCAAAAAAUAUUUCUGAACACCCAAGAAACUCCUAACAGUAGCUGUCAUCUAGGAAAGGAGACCUGAGUGAAUGGAUUAAGAGGGAAACUAACUUAUUAUGAUUAAAAGUUCACAGUCAGGUGUGGUGGCUCAUACCUGUAAUCUCAGCACUUUGGGAGGGCAAGGCAGAAGGAUCACUUGAAGCCAGGAGUUCAAGACCAACCAGCCUGGGAAACAUAGCAAGACCUUGUCUUUACAAAAAAUUUAACAAUGUAGCCAGGCAUGGUGGCAGGCACCUGUAGUCCCAGCUACUGAGCUGAGGCUGAAGCAGGAGAGGAUCACUUGAGCCCAGGAGUUCGAGGAUGCAGUGAGCUAUGAUCAUGCCACUGCACUCCAGCCAGAGCAAGAGUGAGACUCUGCCUCCCAAAACUACAUAUCGAAAAAUUUUAGGCUGUGCGCAGUAGCUGACACCUAUAAUCCCAGCACUCUGGGAAGCUCGAGCCCAGUUCAAUGUUACGGUGAGCUACGAUUACGCAACUGCACUCCAGCCUGGGUGACACAGCAAGACUCUAAUAGACACACAGACAGAUAAAUUUUAAAGUUUCCAUUAAAAAUAAGAACUAUUGGCAGGGCGCGGUGGCUCACACCUGUAAUGCCAGCACUUUGGGAGGCCAAGGUGGGCGGAUCAUGAGGUCAGGAGAUCGAGACCAUCCUGGCUAACACGGUGAAACCCCAUCUCUACUGAAAAUACAAAAAAAUUAGCCAGGCGUGGUGGUGGGUGCCUGUAGUCCCAGCUACUCGGGAGGCUGAGGCAGGAGAAUGGCGUGAACCCAGGAGGCGGAGCUUGCAGUGAGCCGAGGUCGUGCCACUGUGCUCCAGCCUGGGCGACAGAGUGUGAGACUCCAUCUCAAAAAAAAAUAAAAUAAAUAAAAAUAAGAACUAUCAGUUACUUGAGAAUUUCUAUAAGAACCUUUUAAUGUUUGUAUUACCUAGUGAACCUCACUAAAUCCAUUAAUUUUCACUAAUCCAUUCCUUAUGAACACAGAAGUUUCUACUGAGCCAAUAUUAGCAUUUAACAUGUGAACUGUCUAUCAACGGUGUUUUUAAAAGAUUUACAGGCCAGGCUCAAUGGCUCAUGCCUGUAAUCCCAGCACUUUGAGAGGCCGAGUCGGGUGGAUCACGAGGUCAGAAGAUCGAGACCAUCCUGGCUAACAUGGUGAAACCCCAUCUCUAUUAAAAAAUACAAAAAAUUAGCCAGGCAUGGUGGUGUGUGCCUGUAAUCCCAGAUACGUGACAGGCUGAAGCAGGAGAAUCACUUGAACCCAGGAGACACAGGUUGCAGUGAGCUGAGAUUGCGCCACUGCACUCCAGCCUGGUGACAGAGCGAGACUCCGUCUCAAAUAAAAAUAAAAAGAUUUAUAUUAGGCAGGGCAUGCUGGCUCACUGCCUGUAAUCCCAGCACUUUGAGAGGCCGAGACACGCAGAUCACCUGAGUUCAGGAGCUCAAGACCAGCCUGACCAACAUGGAGAAACCUCAUCUCUACUGAAAAUACAAAAUUAGAUGGGCGUGGUAGCGUGUGCCUGUAAUCCCAGCUACUCGGGAGGCUGAAGCAGGACAAUCGCUUGAACCCGGGAGGCGGAGGUUGCAGUGAGCCAGAUGGCGCCAUUGCACUCCAGCCUGGGCAACAAGAGCAAAACUCUGUCUCAAAAAGAAAAAAAGAUUUAUAUUAGAAGGAGGGGCCUUCUCUAAAAGUAAUGAAUCCUUUUUUUUCCCUCCCCAAGCAAAAAAUCCUUCUCUAAAAUUAAUCAUUUUUCUAAGCCUGGUUUAAUGCUUUUUUUGGAAGACUGCUUAUUUCUUUUCCUUUCAAAAGUUAUGCAAGCUCAUUAAAAAAAAAAGUCCGGGAAUGGUGGCUCACGCUUGUAAAUCCCAGCACUUUGGGAGGCCGAGGCAGGUGGAUGACUAGGUCAGGAGAUUGAGACCAUCCUGG